rnacentral:rRNA from 1 species
GACGAACGCUGUCGGCGUGCUUAACACAUGCAAGUCGAACGGAAAGGCCCUGCUUUUGUGGGGUGCUCGAGUGGCGAACGGGUGAGUAACACGUGAGUAACCUGCCCUUGACUUUGGGAUAACUUCAGGAAACUGGGGCUAAUACCGGAUAGGAGCUCCUGCUGCAUGGUGGGGGUUGGAAAGUUUCGGCGGUUGGGGAUGGACUCGCGGCUUAUCAGCUUGUUGGUGGGGUAGUGGCUUACCAAGGCUUUGACGGGUAGCCGGCCUGAGAGGGUGACCGGCCACAUUGGGACUGAGAUACGGCCCAGACUCCUACGGGAGGCAGCAGUGGGGAAUAUUGCACAAUGGGCGGAAGCCUGAUGCAGCAACGCCGCGUGCGGGAUGACGGCCUUCGGGUUGUAAACCGCUUUCGCCUGUGACGAAGCGUGAGUGACGGUAAUGGGUAAAGAAGCACCGGCUAACUACGUGCCAGCAGCCGCGGUGAUACGUAGGGUGCGAGCGUUGUCCGGAUUUAUUGGGCGUAAAGGGCUCGUAGGUGGUUGAUCGCGUCGGAAGUGUAAUCUUGGGGCUUAACCCUGAGCGUGCUUUCGAUACGGGUUGACUUGAGGAAGGUAGGGGAGAAUGGAAUUCCUGGUGGAGCGGUGGAAUGCGCAGAUAUCAGGAGGAACACCAGUGGCGAAGGCGGUUCUCUGGGCCUUUCCUGACGCUGAGGAGCGAAAGCGUGGGGAGCGAACAGGCUUAGAUACCCUGGUAGUCCACGCUGUAAACGGUGGGUACUAGGUGUGGGGUCCAUUCCACGGGUUCCGUGCCGUAGCUAACGCUUUAAGUACCCCGCCUGGGGAGUACGGCCGCAAGGCUAAAACUCAAAGGAAUUGACGGGGCCCCGCACAAGCGGCGGAGCAUGCGGAUUAAUUCGAUGCAACGCGUAGAACCUUACCUGGGUUUGACAUGGAUCGGGAGUGCUCAGAGAUGGGUGUGCCUCUUUUGGGGUCGGUUCACAGGUGGUGCAUGGCUGUCGUCAGCUCGUGUCGUGAGAUGUUGGGUUAAGUCCCGCAACGAGCGCAACCCUUGUUCACUGUUGCCAGCACGUUAUGGUGGGGACUCAGUGGAGACCGCCGGGGUCAACUCGGAGGAAGGUGGGGAUGACGUCAAGUCAUCAUGCCCCUUAUGUCCAGGGCUUCACGCAUGCUACAAUGGCUGGUACAGAGAGUGGCGAGCCUGUGAGGGUGAGCGAAUCUCGGAAAGCCGGCCUCAGUUCGGAUUGGGGUCUGCAACUCGACCUCAUGAAGUCGGAGUCGCUAGUAAUCGCAGAUCAGCAACGCUGCGGUGAAUACGUUCCCGGGGCU